rnacentral:rRNA from 1 species
GAUUAACGCUGGCGGCGUGCCUAAUACAUGCAAGUCGAACGAACUUACUAGAGUCUAGAAGCCGGAAUUUAGAAUUUAGGCUAAGGAGCAAUCCUAGAACCUUAAUUCUUGAUUCUUAAUUCUUGAUUCUUGUAAGUUAGUGGCGGACGGGUGAGUAACACGUUGGUACCUGCCCCGAAGUGGGGAAUAACUGGCCGAAAGGUCGGCUAAUACCGCAUAGUCUCGUGCUUGUCACGAGUAAAGGUCGCCUAGGCGACCGCUUCGGGAGGGGCCU